CGGACGGGUGAGUAAUGCUUGGGAAUCUAGCUUAUGGAGGGGGAUAACUACGGGAAACUGUAGCUAAUACCGCGUAAUAUCGAAAGAUUAAAGUGUGGGACCUUCGGGCCACAUGCCAUAGGAUGAGCCCAAGUGGGAUUAGGUAGUUGGUGAGGUAAAGGCUCACCAAGUCGACGAUCUCUAGCUGGUCUGAGAGGAUGACCAGCCACACUGGGACUGAGACACGGCCCAG
rnacentral:rRNA from 1 species